rnacentral:rRNA from 1 species
GAUAAACGCUGGCGGCGUGCCUAAAACAUGCAAGUCGAACGGGCUCUUCGGAGCUAGUGGCGGACGGCUGAGUAACACGUGGGUGACCUGCCCUCGAGCGGGGGAUAACUGCCCGAAAGG